CCCCUAGAUGUUCUGGGCCGCACGCGCGCUACACUGAACAGUUCAACAAGUCUUAACCUUGGCCGAUAGGUCUGGGUAAUCUUUGAACGCUGUUCGUGAUUGGGAUAGACCUUUGCAAUUAUGGGUCUUCAACGAGGAAUUCCUAGUAAACGCAAGUCAUCAGCUUGCGUUGAUUACGUCCCUGCCCUUUGUACACACCGCCCGUCGCACCUACCGAUUGAAUGGUCCGGUGAAAUCUCGGGACGGCGGCUUGGUCGCUUGCGUCCGACUGCUGAAACUUGAUUAAACCAUAUCAUUUAGAGGAAGGUGAAGUCGUAACA
rnacentral:rRNA from 1 species